GAUGAACGCUGGCGGCGUGCCUAAUACAUGCAAGUCGAGCGAACAGACUUGUAGCUUGCUCCUCUGACGUUACCGGCGUACGUGUGAGUUAUACGUGGUUAACCUAUCUAUAGGACUGGCUUUCCUUCGGGAAAUCGGUGCUCCUUCCUGUUAUUAUAUUCAUCCGCAUUUUUUAAUAGUUACAGACGGUUUUGCUGUCACUUCUCGAUGGUUCCGCGCCGCUUUAGCUACUUGUUAAGGUAACGGUUUACCUAGGCAAUGAUGCGUAGCCGAUCUGCGAGGGUGAGCGGCCACACUGGAACUGAAACAAGAUACAGACUACUACGGGAGGCAGCAGAAGAGAAUCGUCCGCAAAGGGAGAAAGGAUGACGGAGCAAAGCCGCGUGAGUGAAAAAGGGAUUCGGAUAGUAAAACUCAGUUAUUAGGGAAGAACAAAUGAGUAAGUAACUAGGCACGACUUGAAGGUACCGAAUCAGAAAGCCACGGCUAACUACGUG
rnacentral:rRNA from 1 species